CACCUUCUUCUUCCGGUUGAUGUUUUGCUCAUCCCGCCAUGCACCGAUCAGCUUUGAUGCAUUCAUAUUCAGUUUAUUCACAUAGAUCACAAGAAAUAUGGGCUUGGUUACUAAUUCCUUUUACUCUAUGGAUAUGCGUUUCAGUCAGUGUCCGGUACGGGGCAUACGGAAAUUCUAAUUUGCCUUUUGGACCGAACUCUUCCCGACUCUUCAAGGCUAGUUCAAUUUUUGUGCAACAAAUUCAAGUUAAAGAUGAUUGGAAGACAGGGGUUUCAGUUUAUGGGUUUUCAGAAGAGCCUGAAUUGAGCUUGAAUGUAAAUUGUUGGAAAUUUUCGAGGUUUUUACAUGUAAGGCCCUAUCGACGUCAGGGUUUCUCAUUAUGGCUGAACAAAGGCUCAAUGAUUCAGAUGAAAUGGGCAGCUCAUGUUAGUGAUUUUAGUGACAUAUUGGUGGUCUUAUACAAGGGGCAACAUAAUUUUGCAACUCUGGAGCCUGUGACAGCUCCACCUGGUUCCAUCUUCUCCAGCAAUUCGACUGAUGGUACGAGUCGGAGGACACAGGUUAAAUACUUAAUCGAUGAAGGCGAUAACUACUACAUAUGCAUCAUAAACAUGAAAGCGAGACCCGUUGUAAUGAAGAUUGAUGUCAAUGUUUCAUCAACAAUGUACGAUAUCACAAAGGCAAACAACAAGUGUUCGACAGUAAACGGAUUAUGUCAACUCAAUCUUCUGUUCCCAAAAGAACAGUUUCUCGUCCUAGCCACACCCAACAAUAGAGAUAUAAACGGAUGGUAUAUCGAACUUUCUUUUGUUGCUCGUGUGAUUACAUAUAUUGCAAUCUUAGGACUUUUAGUGAUUUUUCUGUCGCUGAUUCUAAAGUACAUACUAGCAUGGGAGACAUCGAGGAAUGCAGAACCCCUUCCGGAGGUAAGGUCGGAAAAUGAGACUGACCCAUUAAUACCACCAACAGCAGGGAAACCUGGUUCAUUCAUAUAUGGAACAGGUGAUGAAGAUGAUCUCGAAUCACAAACGUCUAACUCUUCUGACGAUUUGUAUGAUGGGAAAAUAUGUGUAAUUUGCUAUGACAAACAGCGCAACUGUUUCUUCAUUCCUUGUGGUCAUUGUGCCACUUGCUAUCCUUGUGCUCAAAGGAACUUGGUCCUCCUUCUACCUAUAAAAGGAACACAAUGGUCAUCGGUAUUGGGUUUCGGAGAAUUGAUUAUUCAUAACGUAAGAGGUGAAGAAGGAGAAACCAUGACCUCCACAAGGUAUUACCGCUGCUACUGAGAUCAUCGGGGAUGUACUACGGAUUAACACUAACAGGUUUUACCCACAGGAGAAUCUUAUUGAAGAUCUAUUAUUGAAAUUGAGAGGCAAUUAUAGAUAAAGUGAAAAAUCAUAAAGUCUGACAAAGGUGGUGAAUAUUGUGAAGGUAUGACAAAACAGGAUAAUAUCCUAAAUCUUUUGCAUAGUAUCUUCAAAAGUUCGGAAUUGUUUCUCAAUACACAAUGCCAAAUUAUCCUUGGCGUAAUGGUGUAUAUCAAAGGGCUAAAUAAUACUUUUAUGAAAAUGGUUAAAAGCAUGAUGAACCAUGCAUAAUGGCUAUACAUUUGUGAAUGUUUGUUCUUUCUGUAACUGUGUAAUUUAAAUAGAUUUCUGUUAGAGAAGUUUCAAAGACACACUUUGGACUAGAAAGGCUGGAAACCUAGUUUAAAUCACCUUUAAUAUUCUAACCGAAGUAUGGGAUUUAUUGAAAUCGAAAAUA